UACGGAGGAGGCAAGCGUUAUCCGGAAUGAUUGGGCGUAAAGCGUCCGCAGGUGGCCGUUCAAGUCUGCUGUCAAAGACCGGGGCUUAACUUCGGAAAGGCAGUGGAAACUGAACAGCUAGAGUAUGGUAGGGGCAGAGGGAAUUCCUGGUGUAGCGGUGAAAUGCGUAGAGAUCAGGAAGAACAUCGGUGGCGAAGGCGCUCUGCUGGACCAUAACUGACACUCAGGGACGAAAGCUAGGGGAGCGAAUGGG
rnacentral:rRNA from 1 species